UACGAAGGGGGCUAGCGUUGCUCGGAAUGACUGGGCGUAAAGGGCGCGUAGGCGGCUUGCAUAGUCAGAUGUGAAAUUCCUGGGCUUAACCUGGGGGCUGCAUUUGAUACGUGUGGGCUUGAGUGCGGAAGAGGGUCGUGGAAUUCCUGGUGUAGCGGUGAAAUGCGCAGAUAUCAGGAGGAACACCAAUUGCGAAGGCAGCUCGCUGGGACGUAACUGACGCUGAGACGCGAAAGCGUGGGGAGCAAACAGG
rnacentral:rRNA from 1 species